GACGAACGCUGGCGGCGUGCUUAACACAUGCAAGUCGAACGGAGCGAAUGAAAGCUUGCUUUUAUGAGCUUAGUGGCAAACGGGUGAGUAACACGUAGACAACCUGCCGACAGGAUGGGGACAACAUUCCGAAAGGAAUGCUAAUACCGAAUGAAGUCGAGGGAAGGCAUCUUCCUUCGAUGAAAGAUGGCCUCUGAAUAUGCUAUCACCUGUCGAUGGGUCUGCGUCUGAUUAGCUAGUUGGUGAGGUAACGGCUCACCAAGGCGACGAUCAGUAGCCGGUCUGAGAGGAUGAACGGCCACAUUGGGACUGAGACACGGCCCAGACUCCUACGGGAGGCAGCAGUGGGGAAUCUUCCGCAAUGGGCGCAAGCCUGACGGAGCAACGCCGCGUGAGUGAAGAAGGUCUUCGGAUCGUAAAGCUCUGUUGACGGGGACGAACGUGCGAGAGGUGAAUAAUCUCUU
rnacentral:rRNA from 1 species